CGGGUGAGUAACGCGUGGGAAACCUGCCUUGUAGAGGGGGAUAGCCUCGGGAAACCGGGAUUAAUACCCCAUAAAGCUCCAGCAUCGCAUGAUGCAAGAGUCAAAACUCCGGUGCUACAAGAUGGUCCCGCGUCCCAUUAGCUAGUUGGUGAGAUAACAGCUCACCAAGGCGACAAUGGGUAGCCGACCUGAGAGGGUGAUCGGCCACACUGGGACUGAGACACGGCCCAGACUCCUACGGGAGGCAGCAGUGGGGAAUAUUGCGCAAUGGGGGAAACCCUGACGCAGCAACGCCGCGUGAGUGAAGAAGGUUUUCGGAUCGUAAAACUCUGUCUUAAGGGAUGAAUAAAUGACAGUACCUUAAGAGGAAGCCCCGGCUAACUACGUGCCAGCAGCCGCGGUAAUACGUAGGGGGCAAGCGUUGUCCGGAAUUACUGGGCGUAAAGGGCGUGUAGGCGGCACUUUAAGUCAGAUGUGAAAGUCCACGGCUCAACCGUGGAAUUGCAUUUGAAACUGGAGAGCUUGAGUGCAGGAGAGGAGAGCGGAAUUCCUAGUGUAGCGGUGAAAUGCGUAGAUAUUAGGAAGAACACCAGUGGCGAAGGCGGCUCUCUGGACUGUAACUGACGCUGAGGCGCGAAAGCGUGGGUAGCGAACAGGAUUAGAUACCCUGGUAGUCCACGCCGUAAACGAUGAGUGCUAGGUGUUGGG
rnacentral:rRNA from 1 species